rnacentral:rRNA from 1 species
GACGAACGCUGGCGGCGUGCUUAACACAUGCAAGUCAAACGGAAAGGCCCUGCUUUUGUGGGGUGCUCGAGUGGCGAACGGGUGAGUAACACGUGAGUAACCUGCCCUUGACUUUGGGAUAACUUCAGGAAACUGGGGCUAAUACCGGAUAGGAGCUCCUGCUGCAUGGUGGGGGUUGGAAAGUUUCGGCGGUUGGGGAUGGACUCGCGGCUUAUCAGCUUGUUGGUGGGGUAGUGGCUUACCAAGGCUUUGACGGGUAGCCGGCCUGAGAGGGUGACCGACCACAUUGGGACUGAGAUACGGCCCAGACUCCUACGGGAGGCAGCAGUGGGGAAUAUUGCACAAUGGGCGGAAGCCUGAUGCAGCAACGCCGCGUGCGGGAUGACGGCCUUCGGGUUGUAAACCGCUUUCGCCUGUGACGAAGCGUGAGUGACGGUAAUGGGUAAAGAAGCACCGGCUAACUACGUG